rnacentral:rRNA from 1 species
CCUACGGGAGGCAGCAGUAGGGAAUCUUCCGCAAUGGACGAAAGUCUGACGGAGCAACGCCGCGUGAACGAAGAAGGCCUUCGGGUCGUAAAGUUCUGUUGUUAGGGAAGAACAAGUACCAGAGUAACUGCUGGUACCUUGACGGUACCUAACCAGAAAGCCACGGCUAACUACGUGCCAGCAGCCGCGGUAAUACGUAGGUGGCAAGCGUUGUCCGGAAUUAUUGGGCGUAAAGCGCGCGCAGGUGGUUCCUUAAGUCUGAUGUGAAAGCCCACGGCUCAACCGUGGAGGGUCAUUGGAAACUGGGGAACUUGAGUGCAGAAGAGGAAAGUGGAAUUCCAAGUGUAGCGGUGAAAUGCGUAGAGAUUUGGAGGAACACCAGUGGCGAAGGCGACUUUCUGGUCUGUAACUGACACUGAGGCGCGAAAGCGUGGGGAGCAAACAGGAUUAGAUACCCUGGUAGUCCACGCCGUAAACGAUGAGUGCUAAGUGUUAGAGGGUUUCCGCCCUUUAGUGCUGCNGCUACGACAUAAGUACACUCCGCCGUCGGGAGGUACGGCCGGCCGACGGACGUGAACGUACGAACGGAAAGUUAGUACGGCGUGAGACGUCGCCGACGGACGACCGACCGAGGGGAGGUUAGG